CUUAUCAAGAAAGGUGGAGGGACAGGCCCUGCGAAACCUUAGCAACCCUUAGCGAAAGCUGAGAAGGUGCUAAUUCCAUUUCGAUUUAUUUCGGAAUCAGAUAAG
rnacentral:ncRNA from 1 species